GUAGAUAGGGGGGGUGGAUAGGAUAGAUAGGGCUGAUAGAGUAGAUAGGAUAGAUAGGGCUGAUAGAGUAGAUAGGAAUGAUAGGGUAGUUAGAGGUGUAGAUAGGGCUGAUAGGGUAGUUAGAGGGGUAGAUAGGGCUGAUAGGGGUAGUUAGGGUAGAUAGGCCACAAACCAAAUCAUCCUUCUUCUAGCCACAGCUGCCAUUGCAGUUCUCAGGUGUCCCAUCAUUACGUCAUGAUGACGACACAGACUUUGCUGAAGCCACGUCGUAAAAAGCACUAAAUAUAUUGUAGUUUACUUGCUCUUGUAAUAUGGUUAUCAUGUAGGCCUACUUAUAAUAAAAAUAUAUAUCAAAUAAAAC